rnacentral:lncRNA from 1 species
CGGAGCCGCGCAACGCCUGGGUGUGGUGACUUCGCACAGCCCAGGAGGUGAUGCACUCACGCAUUCGCUGGCGACAUCUCCUUGACCUGUCGGCCUUUUCGGGGCGCCAGGGAUGCGUGAGAAAAUGAGGAUUUGAACUGAACGAUGGAAGGGCUCAUCGCUCCAACUCCCCGCCGACUUCCUGAACAAACUAGAACCGAGAUGGAUCUCAACCUCAGCGGGUCAUGUUCCAGGAAACAAGUUCUCUGUUUAGCGUGAGAGCUGCAGUAGUCGCCAGGUUUGCGCGGA